GUUUCUCACAACAAACAGGAAGGAUGUGGAGUUCGCGUGAUGAACCAUAGACAAUGCUUAACAGAUGGGAGAUGAAAAUGCUUAGAAGCGUGUGAUGCGUUUUACAUAUGAGUGGAGCCAAACAAAUGCUACUAGAAUGCCGAUUAUCAGAGAAAGGUUCUGAUGCGCCUAGAUGAAAUUGUGCAGAAUUAUCUGCUCGCGCUGCUGUGGCUGCAACAACUAAGGAGACAACUACUGUACCAACCCACCAUUCAUCUGAUUCAGAAACCAGAGACAGCUGUUUGCUCUUUCACUGCUAGAAUUUCUAUUAUUGAAUACUGGUUCACCAUGAAAUAUUUUCUAGAGCCAGAACAAAAAUAAUGGUUGGCAUGUGUGUAAAUAUUGCAGUCAGUCUCUGUAGGUUUUUAUGCCAUUUUAGUGUAAUGUAAUAUCUGACCAGCGGCCAUCAUAAAAGUGCAGAAUAAUACCUUUAAGUUCCUUUGCAUAUUCAUGAUUACAUUUGAUUCAGGUAAUGCAUGUAUUAAUCUUCUAUUUCAUCCUGUGAAACUACAACACAUGACCUGUUAUGAUUGUCAAUUGUACUAGUACAUGCAGUUUUAUAUAUAUCUCAUCUCAUCUCAUUAUCUCUAGCCGCUUUAUCCUUCUACAGGGUCGCAGGCAAGCUGGAGCCUAUCCCAGCUGACUACAGGCGAAAGGUGGGGUACACCCUGGACAAGUCGCCAGGUCAUCACAGUGCUGACACAGACACAGACAACCAUUCACACCUACGGUCAAUUUAGAGUCACCAGUUAACCUAACCUGCAUGUCUUUGGACUGUGGGGGAAACCGGAGGACCCGGAGGAAACCCACAUGGACACGGGGAGAACAUGCAAACUCCACACAGAAAGGCCCUCGCCGGCCCCCGAACCCAGGACCUUCUUGCUGUGAGGCGACAGCGCUAACCACUACACCACCUUGCCGCCUGUUUUAUAUAUAUAUAUAUAUAUAUAUAUAUAUAUAUAUAUAUAUAUAUAACUACAACACAUGACCUGUUAUGAUUUUUAAGUGUACUAGUACACACGGUUUUAUAUAUAUAUAUUUCACAUUUCUAACCUAACGUGGCUGAUGCAGCUAUUUAUUUGGUUGAAA